AGAGUUUGAUCAUGGCUCAGAAUCAACGCUGGCGGCGCGCUUAACACAUGCAAGUCGAACGAGAAAGGGGAGCAAUCCCUGAGUAAAGCGGCGCACGGGUGAGUAACACGUGGGUAAUCUGCCCUGGAGUGGGGAAUAACACCGGGAAACCGGUGCUAAUACCGCAUACGAUCACGAUGUCUGCGGACGUUGUGAUGAAAGGAGCAAUUCGCUCCAGGAGGAGCCCGCGGCUGAUUAGCUAGUUGGUGAGGUAACGGCUCACCAAGGCUACGAUCAGUAUCCGGUCUGAGAGGACGGCCGGACACACUGGAACUGAGACACGGUCCAGACUCCUACGGGAGGCAGCAGUGGGGAAUUUUUGGCAAUGGGGGCAACCCUGACCAAGCAACGCCGCGUGGGUGAUGAAGUCUCUUGGGACGUAAAACCCUUUCGACGGGGAAGAAACCGCAAGGUUGACGGUACCCGUAGAAGAAGCCCCGGCUAACUCCGUGCCAGCAGCCGCGGUAAUACGGGGGGGGCAAGCGUUGUUCGGAAUUACUGGGCGUAAAGGGUGCGUAGGCGGUUCUCUAAGUCGGAUGUGAAAACUCUGGGCUCAACCCAGAGCCUGCAUCCGAAACUGGAGGGCUAGAGUUCUGGAGGGGGUAGCGGAAUUCCUGGUGUAGCGGUGAAAUGCGUAGAUAUCAGGAGGAACACCGGUGGCGAAGGCGGCUACCUGGACAGAAACUGACGCUGAGGCACGAAAGCUAGGGGAGCAAACAGGAUUAGAUACCCUAGUAGUCC
rnacentral:rRNA from 1 species